GACGAACGCUGGCGGCGUGCUUAACACAUGCAAGUCGAACGGAAAGGCCCUGCUUUUGUGGGGUGCUCGAUUGGCGAACGGGUGAGUAACACGUGAGUAACCUGCCCUUGACUUUGGGAUAACUUCAGGAAACUGGGGCUAAUACCGGAUAGGAGCUCCUGCUGCAUGGUGGGGGUUGGAAAGUUUCGGCGGUUGGGGAUGGACUCGCGGCUUAUCAGCUUGUUGGUGGGGUAGUGGCUUACCAAGGCUUUGACGGGUAGCCGGCCUGAGAGGGUGACCGGCCACAUGGGGACUGAGAUACGGACCAGACUCCUACGGGAGGCAGCAGUGGGGAAUAUUGCACAAUGGGGGGAAGCCUGAUGCAGCAACGCCGCGUGCGGGAUGACGGCCUUCGGGUUGUAAACCGCUUUCGCCGGUGACGAAGCGUGAGUGACGGUAAUGGGUAAAGAAGCACCGGCUAACUACGUG
rnacentral:rRNA from 1 species